rnacentral:pre_miRNA from 1 species
GUUGAGGGGAAUGUCGUCUGGCUCGAGAUGAUCCGUGUCUAGCGCUGUAUUGGUUUAGUUUCAUUCAUGGAUGAUUUCGGACCAGGCUUCAUUCCCCUCAAC